GUGGGGAAUAUUGGACAAUGGGCGAAAGCCUGAUCCAGCCAUGCCGCGUGUGUGAAGAAGGUCUUCGGAUUGUAAAGCACUUUAAGUUGGGAGGAAGGGCAGUAAGUUAAUACCUUGCUGUUUUGACGUUACCGACAGAAUAAGCACCGGCUAACUUCGUGCCAGCAGCCGCGGUAAUACGAAGGGUGCAAGCGUUAAUCGGAAUUACUGGGCGUAAAGCGCGCGUAGGUGGUUUUGUAAGUUGGAGGUGAAAUCCCCGGGCUCAACCUGGGAACUGCCUCCAAAGCUGCAUGACUAGAGUACGGUAGAGGGUAGUGGAAUUUCCUGUGUAGCGGUGAAAUGCGUAGAUAUAGGAAGGAACACCAGUGGCGAAGGCGACUACCUGGACUGAUACUGACACUGAGGUGCGAAAGCGUGGGGAGCAAACAGGAUUAGAAACCCGGGUAGUCC
rnacentral:rRNA from 1 species